rnacentral:sRNA from 1 species
GCUUGGUGUGGCGUAAAUGGAUUUGAGUUUCUCCCAGAUCUCUGCAGCCGUGUUGGAUCUUGACAGGAGAGGUUGAAUGGUGGUCGUGAUUGUGCCAAGGAUAGCACUGUAAAUCAGCUUGUCUUGACGCUUCCAAAACUUGUAGGCGGGAUUAGCCGCAGAAACACCAGCAGUGGUGAUCAUUUCAGAUGGUGCGGUGACGGAUCCGUCGAUGUAGCCAGCAAGGUCGUAUCCAUCAAGCAAAGCGUGAACCUGACGGUUCCACAUGAUGUAAUUCGUGGGAGUGAGUUUUGUGAUGUUUGCCAUGUUGACAUUGAGAAGGGUUGGUGUUUCAGAGAAAGCAAUUGUUUCUGUGGAUCCCGACGGUGUGGAAGUCAUCGUGAAAAAUGAAACAGACUUGAAGAAGAGUGUAUGAAGAAGAGGCGGCGUUAAAAAAAAAAGUUUAGGUCUGAGAGUCGUAAUGCUCUGAUACCAUAUAGAGUGUGAAGCUUAAUUAUCAUUAGAGGUUGUGAUUACAAUAUAUAUACACGAGAGAUUAGGGUAAUACUAAUUACAAUUAUACCCUAACUAUACAUAACCUCUAUAGGAUAUGCCUAAAAAAAAAUGAAAACCUAUAUAUAGGGGUGUCAAAAUGGGUAACCCAACUCAACUCAACUCAUAAUCAAAUGAGUUUAGGGUUAAAUGAGUUAUGGGUUGAUCCAACCCAUUUAACAAAAUGAGUUGGGUCAACCCAUAACUCAUUUAAUUUGAUGGGUUGAGUUGUUAAAUGGAUUAACCUAUUGAAGUAAUAAUUUAAUUAAUUAUUAUUAUAAAACAAUAAUAAAUAAUUAUCAUUAUUAAUUCAUUAUCAUCAAACUUAUGAUAUUUACGGAUUCCACUUUUUACGGAUUUACGUUUUUGACGAUAAAAUCAUGGGUUUACGUUUUUGGCGGAAAAAUUACGGAUUUACAUUUCUGGCGGGAAAAUAACGGGUUUACGUUUUUGGGGAGAAAAUCACGGGUUUACGUUUUUGGCGGGAAAAUUACAGAUUUACGUUUUUGGCGGGAAAAUUACAUAUUUACGUUUCUGGCGGGAAAAUUACGGGUUUAAGGUUUUGGCGGGAAAUCUCGGGUUUACGUUUUUGGCGGGAAAAUCACGGAUUUACGUUUUUGGCGGGAAAAUAACGGAUUUACGUUUUUGGCGGGAAAAUCACGGGUUUACGUUUUUGGCCGGAAAAUCACGGGUUUUCGUUUUUUGGCGUGAAAAUUACGAGUUUUACAUUUUUGGCGGGAAAAUUACGAGUUUACGUUUUUUGGCGGGAAAAUUACGAGUUUACGUUUUUGGCGGGAAAAUCACGGGAUUUACAUUUUUGGCUGGAAAAUUACGGGUUUACGUUUUUGGCGGGAAAAUCACGGGUUUACGUUUUUGGCGGGAAAAUUAUGGAUUUACGUUUUUGGCGGGAAAAUCUCGGGUUUACGUUUUUGGCGGGAAAAUCUUGGGUUUUCGUUUUUUGCGAGAAAAUAACGGGUUUACGUUUUUAGCGGGAAAAUCACGGAUUUAUGUUUUUUGGUGGAAAAAUUACGAGUUUACUUUUUCUCAAUUUCAUCGCUUGUAUAUUUAAGAAAUUUGGAAAAAUAUUAAUUUUAUUAAAUUGGUUUAGAUGUGUUGGUUAAACUUAAAUUGGUAUUGGUUUUGAGAUUUUAGUUGGUUUUAUUCAAUUUUACAAAAUUUGAUGGGUUAAUUGGGUAAACCAUUGAAACCAUUAACCAUUACAACCCAACUUAUUUUACUCAUCAAACCAAUUGACUCAUCAACUCAUUUGACCCAUCAACUCAUUUGAGUCAAAAUUUUCAACUCAUUAGGGUUCAUUAGUUGAGUUGACCCAUGAAUUUUGACCCAUUUUAACACCCCUACUUAUAUACAAUCUGGUUUUGUCUAUUUAUAUAGACUAAAUAUGAAAGGGCUGAGAAUAAUUAUGAUCUAAACUCUAAUAAAGAUAGCUGGGCAUGCGACUAAACUAGGGUAUU